CGGGAGGCAGCAGUGGGGAAUAUUGGGCAAUGGAGGAAACUCUGACCCAGCGACGCCGCGUGCGGGAUGAAGGCCUUCGGGUUGUAAACCGCUUUCAGCAGGGAAGAAGCGAAAGUGACGGUACCUGCAGAANAAGCACCGGCUAACUAUGUG
rnacentral:rRNA from 1 species